AUGGAGGUGAUGAAUUUUUCCUCAGAUGAUUCGACGCUGAAAUAACUGAGCGCUACUUUUUUUCUCCCUUUGUGGUGAAAAUCCAAGCCAAAAUUCUGAUCCAU